rnacentral:rRNA from 1 species
UACGUAGGGGGCUAGCGUUGUCCGGAAUCAUUGGGCGUAAAGAGCGUGUAGGCGGCCCGGUAAGUCCGCUGUGAAAGUCGGGGGCUCAACCCUCGAAUGCCGGUGGAUACUGUCGGGCUAGAGUGCGGAAGAGGCGAGUGGAAUUCCUGGUGUAGCGGUGAAAUGCGCAGAUAUCAGGAGGAACACCGAUUGCGAAGGCAGCUCGCUGGGACGUCACUGACGCUGAGGCACGAAAGCGUGGGGAGCAAACAGG